rnacentral:lncRNA from 1 species
ACAAACGAAGAGACCAGAAGAGAUCAAGAGAAGCAGAUACAUCAACCCAAUUAUUUCACAAUUAGUCCGAAACCCUAGUUGCCAUGUUUCCUUUUUAUUUAUAUUUUUUUAAUUUUUUGUUUAAAUUUAUAUUUUGAGAAAUCUGAUGUACUUCUUCGUCAUUAAAAAAAUAUAUAUUAUUUUCUUUACAUUAUUCUUUAACUAUUUUAAUCUUACUUUAUAUUUUAAAUAAUUUGGUCUAGAAAAGGCAAGCUUCACUACAGAGGCAGUGACCACAAAAAAUUAAUACCAGUGGAAGAGAGGCGCCCAUCAUCAAGUCAAAUUCACCUCAAACUAGUGGCGGAUCCAGGAUUUCAACUCUGGUUGGGCUUGAAUUUCCUAACCAAGAAAAAAAAAGUGGAGAAUCUUGACGGUGUGAGAGAAAUUUAUUUAAUUAAAAGAAAAUGAUACACCUAGCCAGGGGGGACAUAAUGAGCCUUUACCCCUUCAAUGCAUAUGCAAAAUUACAGUAAAAACUAAAUUAUUAAAAUAAACGUGUAAUGCAAUACAAUAUGUACUAUAACAUAAACUAACUAAAUCUAACUCUACGAGUUGAUGAAGCUUCAAACUCUUUAAUCACCUCCUCAUUGGUAACAGAUUCAGCAUACUCUUUCUCAAUGUGGAGGACCAUACAAUCACCAAGAUACUCAUCUCCCAUUUUGCUAAGUUUAUCCUUAAUGAUGUUCAUAGCUUUAUACUUCACAUAGAAAGACACAAAGUAAGAGAGACAAACCUGAGAGCAGAGAACCAGUGAAAAUAAUGGGAAUCCAACCAAGUUCUUACUUCAUAGCUCUUCCGCUUUAGCUGCCAAUAUACCAUUCAGUAUUAGAGAAACAAAAUAUAGCACGAAACGAAUAAAUAACAUCACAUUACAAUUAUGAGUGUGAAAAUUAAGUUUUAAUUCACACAACCUUAAAUCAUAAUUCUCUGCAUCUAUGAUGCUUAGCCUCCAAAAUCAAUCAACAGAAAACUUAGAAAUCGUAACCCUAAGUCCCUAACUCGAUUCAACACUCUAAAUUUCAACAAAUCGUAUUCAUACACAUCAAAUUCCAAACAAUUAUAAUAACAGUAACAACUACAACAAUUCAAUACAGCCUAAAAACCCAGUCAAACACAGCAUGAGCUAAUUCCAGCUUGACUCUUGAGUCUUGAAUAAGGAGAAGCAGAUCUAUUAAAGUGAGAAAGAGGACUCACGGAGGGCUUAACGGAGGUAAACGGUGGAGCCGUGGUCGUGGAGGACUGGAGGGCCUGGAGGCGGCGAGUCGAUGUGAGACACUGACAGUGAGAGGAAGAGAGAAAUCGGAGAAUGAGAGAAGAGAAGAGAUGGUGAGAACUGAGAAGCCUGAGAUCAGUGAGAAGAGAUGGGCGUCGCCGGUCACUGUCGACUAACAGAGAAAGAGAGAGAUGAACUAUCGAACUAUCAAAGGAUUAGCCGAUUAGGAAUUAGGCCAUUAGGGUGGUAUAUCAAAAAAAAAAUCCGUUGGUUGGGCUUGGGUAUAUAUCACACAAAAUAAAAAUUGUAUAUACCUAGUUUUUUUGUUGGCCCAAAAUUCUUGGUUGGGCUUGAGCCCCACUAAGGCCUGUACUGCCUCCGCCCCUACCUCAAACCAAGCUCAUCAGUGCAAUCAAAAGAAGCC